rnacentral:rRNA from 1 species
UAAGGAAUAUUGGUCAAUGGAGGCAACUCUGAACCAGCCAUGCCGCGUGCAGGAAGACGGCCCUCUGGGUUGUAAACUGCUUUUAUUCGGGAAUAAACCACAUUACGUGUAGUGUGCUGAAUGUACCGAAGGAAUAAGGAUCGGCUAACUCCGUGCCAGCAGCCGCGGUAAUACGGAGGAUCCAAGCGUUAUCCGGAUUUAUUGGGUUUAAAGGGUGCGUAGGCGGCUUAUUAAGUCAGGGGUGAAAGACGGUGGCUCAACCAUCGCAGUGCCCUUGAUACUGAUGGGCUUGAAUGGACUAGAGGUAGGCGGAAUGUGACAAGUAGCGGUGAAAUGCAUAGACAUGUCACAGAACACCGAUUGCGAAGGCAGCUUACUAUGGUUUAAUUGACGCUGAGGCACGAAAGCGUGGGGAUCAAACA